GUUAAUUACAAUUAAUAAUAUAUAGCCUUGUAAAAAAACAUUUGUAACUAAACCGGAAGUAAUAAAAAUAAGGUAAUAAGGACGUAGUUAUAAUUUUAUGGUGACAAAUAACUCGUAUCUUGCAUAGUUCUCUCAAAAAAAAGUUGCGUACAUAGAUAUGGAAAAAUGUAAUGUUUUGAAAUGUUUGUAGAAAAUAAGCGGUUGUAAGUGCAGUGCCCGCUCUCGAUCGACGGUGUACCGGUUUAGGGAAUUGCAAAAAUCGGUUGACAUAACUUAGUAUAUGCCGAAAAGCGGUCUGCAUCGGCUACCGCAAGUACAGUGUCCACUCUUGGUUGUGUACAGUCAAUUCAAGAACGUUGCAGCAUUUCCAUAUCAGAGCCUGCUAUGCAAAUCUAGAAUCAAAGAUGCCGGUGCCUGCACGUUACCAUGGUUACCCCGACGCAAUUGUUUAUAUCCCUCGUUUGUAGAGAGCUGCCUGCUUCUUCUGGUGUGCCGCACUCUCUUAAGUUAUGGACGUCUGCCGCUGACCGAACGGGAUGUAAGCUACCCGCGGACCAAGAAAGUGAUUUAGGUAUGGAGAAGAUGACUGCGUCAGUUUUUUCAGAGAUUAUUUAAUGAGACCUAUCGGGACGAGGAAGAUUUACCGGUCACGACCGGACCAACAGAUCUUAUCGGGAUAAUAAGACUGCGACAACAAUUAGAACGCGCAGGAUUCUAGGGACACGAUCUGGAAAAUCUCCCACAAAUUACAAAUUUUAGGAAAAAAGACACAAUAUUUUUCACUUGAUAAGAUCAUUUUGAAA